ensembl:lncRNA
GACACAUUUAGUGAAGUCUCUAUUUUCAUUGGGAAAACAGCUUUGUCUGGAAGGAAAAAUUGCAGAUUUUUGACUUAGUCUUGACCCCACUCAACACCACUAAAAUAACUGUGAUAAAGGAGAGAGUGCUGAGUGGCAUAUUUGGUUAGGAUAGCAUAGCAAAUAUUAUCCUUGUCUUCAGCAGCAAAGCUUUCUGUAUUUGGAAAUGUUUCACUUUUCCUUUCCUGGCCAAUCUCUCUGCAGCGCUUCUUGGUUGGAGUUCCUAUUUGUCAAUUGUCCCAUUUUUGGCUACCAGAGCUCUGAGGUUUCAAGCUGAAGAUGAGAAACUUGCACUUUUGUGGUUUGGGGUGUAAGAAUGUGAAAACCAGGGGAUUUUCACCCUGACCCCAAAUCCCGCAGCGUUCCAGCACGUCUGCUUAUCCCGGCAGUGUUUAUGUCGGAUCUGAGCCACCGAAUACCAGGCUACCUCCUUUUUCUAGCUUUUAUUUUUAUUUUCCUGGUUGGUUCUGCUGCCCGCUGGAUCUUGCAGAGUAACAGUUGAAGACAGAAAUGCCCGAGAGCGAAGAAAGCAUUUCCUAAAGCUGUGGAGCACUCCUGUGGACCUGUUACAUCAGUGAAGAUGAUAUAUCCAGGUACUGAUCAUAUACACAGCUCAGGAUUUUUUCACAAGUUCUUGAAAUUCAUCUGACUCUGUAGGAAACCUUUUCUAUUUCAUUCAUAGUGAAGGUGUAUCGUGUUGUUAUUUUAUUUUAUUUUAUUUUAUUUUAUUUUAUUUUAUUGUUGUUGUUGUUUUAUUUCUGUCUAAUAGGACCUAUCAGUACAAAUGUUUGGGCAAAUAAAUAUUUACCAGAAAAUCCUGGUGGCCAUUUAAGAUCAGUAAGCUGGAGAUCUUAGCUUGAAUAAGCAGCCCUCAUAAAGGAAACUAUGUUGAGUUUUUGGCUUGUUGGCAAAGAAUUUCUGCCAAGACUUUGCAUAAAAUGAACAUUAAAGGCCAUGAAAGUUGGGUGUUUAUUCACCUUUUCCUUGGCAGUUCAAAGGAGCUGUAAUGGCAAAAGCUUGGUACUGGGAACGGAGGUGGUGAUCCUUGGUUUCCACUUCCAGCCAUUCAAUGUCAAAAUGCUGCCAGAAAACACUUUUUUGUUUUCAACAAAUGCAUAAGUUGUGGUCUAGAUUAAUGAAAAAUAAAGUCUUUGUUCACUCCUGUUGAGUGCUCAUGAUGGAGUCUUCACCGCAAGCAUUGGUGAAGCUAAAUCACCAUCCACAUCAAACCAACAGUGUGGUUUUUGGAAGCUCUGGUUUCUUCUCACAGGGUAGCCUUUUGGCCAUGAAGAUGCUGAACUAUUGUUCAGAACUUGGUUUACGUCCAUCACAGAUUGUUUACAGACCAAACAAUGGUGAUGACACCCCUGAAAUUUCCAUAUGGUAUCAUUAAUCAUCUCCAGCUAAUCUGAACAGCUGAGUUGGUAAAUGUCUUUGGUAAAUGUCAUUGGUAAAUGUCUUUUGCAGACUAAUCAUGGAUAGAAUUAAGAUGCUGCCAUGCUAGUUGUUAAGUUCUCUCUCCUACCCUGGAAGCAUGAAUGAAACCAAAUGCAGAUAGAUUUAGCUUUCAUGGCUAAGGGCUCGGAGUCACCUUCACCCAGCACACCAAUGGCACCCCAGUCAGCUACCUGUCUGAGAGUUUCAAGAUGCAAAUCUCAUAUUUCAGAUUAUAUAGUCUUUUAAGUGCCUGAAAAUACUAGAGUUCAGUCUCCCCAGGGACCCAAUCCUUCGUUCAGUGCAGAUAUUCCUGUCUGGAGCACUUCAGGUAGAGAUUUCCUGGCUCUGAGUACAGUUAUUGGCCAAGCAUCCAUGUCUCCACAGCAAUUUCUUUGAAAACCAAGGCCUAUCACCUUUAGAAAAAUAACACAGGAAUCAGUUUUCUGAACUCUCGUUUUCCUAAGAGGGAGCCAAGUUCUCAUAGAGGUAACUCUCUCCCAGGUGACGUGACCGCCUUGUGUCUGGCUCAUUCCUGAGCCAGCCCUUCCCAUAACCAACACUCUGGAUGGUUUUCAGAGCUAAAUGGCUACAACCAUGUCAGCAGAUAAAUUAAGAGGUGCAGCCAGGAAUCAGUAUUUCAGAGAUUUUGGAAGGCAAAGUGGUGAGUGAGGUGGAAACCAGAGAGGCUGACCCAUGCAAUGAAGGUUGUAUGUGAGAAAGAUCUCAAAAUGGCAAAGAAAUAGGACUACAGGGACAUGAGGAAAAGGAACAGGAUGGGAUGAUGUCCUGCAAGCCCAGCCUAAAGAAAGCAAUGGGCAUUCCAUUCUUAAUGGAUAUUCCAUAUACAACCUAUGAGUAUGAAACCGUAAUUCACAUUAAUAUGGACUCUGCCAGUCCUAAUUCCAUCCUUAGGUCAGCAGUGAGACUGUAGAUCUGUUUGUCUCUAUACUAACCUAUAAAGUUUUGGUGUCCCAGGCAAAAAGGAGGUAAAGUAGCAUCUGGGCAAAGUAAUCUUAAAAAGCCAUUUGCUUAUUUUACUUGAGAGACUUACCUAGCAGCUUUGCCAAACUCCAUCUGAACUUCUAGCAAAUACAGACCAGGAGCAGACCUCAAGCAGUCAACAGCACAACUCUUUGUUUGGGGAAGGUGAGCAAAAAAAUGAUAUCAUUCUCCAUUUCAGAAGAUUCUCAUCUCAUUGGAUGAAGUUCAGUUGCAAUAUGGGAUAUGGAAAAAGGGUCACUCACAUGGGUACACACAGCUUGCCUCCAGGAACACAGGGAACAUGUCUCUGCAGAGGUCGGCUCCUGAAGUGGGUGUCCAAAGCCUUUCCAAGGAGAGUGCCAAAGCACAUUUUCUUUUUCCAAGUCAGAAGCUGAGCAUGCAGCAAUGCAUCUCCUCUCAGCUCCAAACUCAGAAGUGGGGACCCAGAUAAAUGUGUCAGCUCCACCCCAGCCAGGUGAAUGCCCUCCUGGGAAUUGGUUUGAUGUCUUUGCACUGCUGUUUCUCUGACUCCAUUCUCCAUUCCUAUUCUUAGAGCACAUGGGUUGGUUUGCUGGACAUUUCUGCAAAUUGAUGCAUGAGGGCCAUUAUGCUGAACUUCAUUACUUCUUAGAUUGACCUGUCCUGCCUGCCUCACUGUCAUCAUGUCACCUAACUUUAGUGGCGUUUGGCUGUCUGUUCCUCUUAGGGUUACCCCAGAGCUGCCCCAUGCCCCUGCCACGUGCAGUCCAUACAGUCACAGCUUGACUCUCUCUCCAGUGACCUCAUCAGCCAUGGUGUUUUGUUAAUCCUACAGCUUGUACAAAGGGCUGAAUAGUCUCACGGAAAUCAGAUGGUUCCCAUUGUACACAGAGACAAACACAGUGUGUGCAUGCAGAAGGGCAUGGGCUCACCCUGAGCAGCUCCUUGUUUGGCCCAGGGCACAUCAACCCCAGCACUGGGCUGGGGACUCCCAGAUCCAGCUCUGUUGUCCAGAACAAGUCAUGAUUCCCUUCCAGGGGAAGAUUUCUGGGGCAACCCAGCAGCUGCACUUCUCCAAGGAAUGGAGUUCAAUUACAUACAUUUUAUUUCUCUCUCUUUUUUUUUUUCCCUAGUGAUUGACACAAACUUUGUUUACAGUUGAGAUUUCUCAGAAUUAGCAGUCCUAGAAUAACAAUGGCUCUGAUCAACCACCUUCUUCCAGGACUUCUUAUCUUUUCCUUUCUGCCCUGUAUCUUUUGGCUGGAGUUCCAAAGUGAAGCUGGAACACAAACAGCUUCCAAACCACAGUGCACAGCUCACUAUCCAAAAAAGCACUGCUGCAACUACAGGCAGGCACACAGUAAAUCACCCCAUGGAGGCAGCAGCAUGCAUUCCCCUGACCAAAAGCAACCCUGUAGGAAAGGCCACUGAGUCAAAUAAAGCCCUGCUGUUUCCACUGAGGGUGGCAUUGGCCCUGGAUCGUCGCAGAUGUCAGAUUAUUCUGAUGCACGGCGUCACGCAGGCACAGCAGAUUCACAUUACAGAGGUCAAGCUAAUACCAGCGCGGUUGGGGUUGAAGUAUUCUGCUCCUGAUUUAAUGCUGAAGGCCAAAUUGAGGCAGACUUCUGGAAUUCAGUGGCCCUUGGGAACAGGCUCCAAAAGGAUGUGGAGGUUUAACCCUCUGAGCCCCCCUGUGCUCACUGAUGGAACUCCCAAACCUAACCCUAACUCUAACCCUAAACUUAAUCCUAACCCUAAUUCCAACCCCGGUCCUAACCUUAACCCUAACCCCAGUACUAUCCCUAACACCAACUCCAACCCUAACCAUAACACCAAUUCAAACCCUAACUCUCACUCCAAACUCUAACCCAACUCAUCCUAACCCUAACCUUAACCCCAAACUCAACCUUAAUCCCAACCCAAACCUAACCCUGACACUAACCCUAGCCCCAGUGCUAAGAUUAACCCCAAAACCAGUGCUGAAGUGCAACACAAAUCCAAACCCAAACUUCAACCCUAAGGCUAACCCCAAACCUAAGACCAACCCUAACCCUAACCUUAAUCUUAACCCUAACCCUAACCCUGAUGCUAAAUCCUAACCCUAACCCAAACCCUAACCCUAACCUUAAUCUUAACCCUAACCCUAACCCUGAUGCUAAAUCCUAACCCUAACCCAAACCCUAACCCUAACCUCAACCCCAACCCUAAGACUAACCCUAACCCUAAUCUUAACCCUAACUCUAACCCCAGUGUUAAACUCCAGCCCAACCCCAACUCCAAACCCAGCCCUCACCCCAUUCCACCCUAACCCAAACCCUAACCCUAAUCCCAACACCAGCCCCAAACACAAUCCCAACUCUGAAAGUAAACCUAAACCUAACCUUAACUCCAAACCUAAAUUCAGUGCUAGCCCCAACCCCAACAAAAACUCCAAGUCUACCCUAACCACAACCCUCACCCUAACCAUUCAGAUGGGGAAUCUGUGGCCCCAUAAGCUUGCAGUGACCAAUGGAAGAAGUGGUUUUGAGUCAACCCUGAAGCCACCCUCUGCCUCAAGCAAGACCCUCCUGCCCCCAGAGAGCAUCCAAACUAAAGCCAACGCUCUGCCAACCUUCAAGUGGGGGUCCCUUCACAUUUUCCUCAUUGUUUUUCUCCUGUGGGGCUUCAGGAUGGGAAAGUUGGGGCCAAAAGGGCCAUUCAGGCUGCUGGGACAGAGGGGUGCCCUCUGUGUAGGAGUGUCACAGAGAAAGCACAACUGGACAGCCCCUGUUCCCAUCCUGCUGCAUCCUUCUGCACCCUUCUCCCUCCGCAGUGAGCCUGAUGCUUCUGCACAUCUUGGGGAGGAGAAGCUUUCCAUCACAUUGAAAUGCGAAGCUUCCUCAUUAGAAUUUAAUUUGCAGCGAUAGAGAGGAAAUUAUCAUGUCAGUGCAGAGAAAAGAAACAGUGAUUCAAGAGAGGAGCUUUUUGAUAAAUCGUACCAAGCGCUUUUAUCUCCAUGGGCUUAAAUGAAGAUUUGGCUCAGGGAGGUUUGUACAUGGCUUUAUAAUGACCGCCAUGGAAAGGACAGAUGGCCCCAGUGACAGUUGAGACCUUCCUAUAUAUUUAUUUUUUUCUGGAGAGCUGUAGCAGUUGUCAUGGCAACUCCCAUUACAACAAAACCCACCAAUAUAUGUUCAAUUAAUCCCUGUAAAAAGAAAAAAUCCCAGAGCCAGAGAGGGAAGGCCACCUCCAUAGGGAGCCUACAAUGGGGCUGGAGCCUGGGUCAUUGCCCAGGAGGUGAGAAACCAUCUCCCAUCAAUGGGUUUGGGCUUCUCUGACCUCCUCUCCUUGCUUUCAGCAUGUCCAGACCUGAUCUUCUGCUGAGUGUAACCAUUUCUUUUUGAUUUCCACUCACUUCCUUUUCUUUUCCAAGUAAUCAGCCAUCUUUGAGCACCCAACUCCUCGCUUGGAAAGACCGAGGUUUAAUGAUUGUUCCACAUCCCUCCAAACUGUUCCUCCUCUCCCGUUGCUCACAUUGCCACAUCUUUUGGGAGAAGGAAUUUUUCUUGUUUUCCCCACUCUGGACUCACAGAAACAUCACGGAUUACAGUGCUCCCUCACUUUGAUGUCUCUGGUGCUCUGGGCUAAGUUUCUGGGAAACAGUGCUUAAGGCACAGAGAUGCUGAGAGCUGGGAAAAGGACACAGCAGUCCUUGAAGACAAACACAAUUAUGGGUGAGAAGCCUCUCCCUGGAGUGACUCAGAGCACUUUGAUGCUCGCUGCUGGCUCCGGAUGCUGAGCUGCCCACAUCCUACCAGGACAGGCCCAGGACAUGUCCUGCACCCUGCACCUCGCCCCAGCAAAAGGAUGGUCUGGUACCAGGAGACGCUCCAGCUCUUACCAGGAAACAGGCUUAUGGCCAUGGCUUGGAGAAGGACUCAUAGCCCUGGGGCCAAGGUGGGCAGAUAGAAGCCUAGCAGAAGUUUAGCACUGCUCGUGCUCAGCUACCCCUGCGCAGCAACUGCCCAAAGCACUGCUCAGGGAAGGCUGAGGACAUAAGGGUCACCCUGCAGGGAAGGCUGAUGGGCUUGAACCUUGGUUCAAAUGAGACAAGUGCAUGGUGCAAGGCUGAUGGUGCACCAGCUGCUGGAAUCCUCUUGCUUUCAGAGCUCAUUGCUCAAAACUCAUUGCUCAAAGCCCUGCUGUUCCCUUGCAGCCUUGCCUUCAAAGCACUUUCCUCUCUUAUACAUAUUUCUCAAUAAGGAUAUAGAAAAAAAUUACGUACAGAAAAAAAAAAAUGGCUUGCCCUGUUCAGGCCUAUUCGUUCCCAAUGGUUUUGUCCCAGAAUAAACACAGACAUGUUUUGAAGCUUGUUGUGAAAGGAGAUUAACUCUAAAAUCUACUUCCUGGCUUUGAAGACUGCAGACCAGCAUGGCUUUUAUUAUUAACCAGUCAUUAGAGUGAGUGACAUAUAGAAGGAAUAAUUGCUUGGCUUGUUUGAGAGUUGAAGGAUGUUAAUUAAGAAGUUAAAUGUUUGUUUUCCUUGCUUGGAACAAAGCACUCCGAGGGUUUGCACUGAGCGGGCGUUCUCCACCCCAUGGGUUGGUCCGGGUCUUGGGAAUGGGAGCAGUUAUGUAGCCCCAAUGCAGCCACGUCAUGGGGCCGUCUCUGUCCUGUCAUCAGCAUCCAUGGCUGAGGUCCCACUGGAUGCAGAGUGAAAAGGUAAUGGCCUUAAAGCUGCACUGAGGGAGGGUCAGGUUGGAUAUUAGGAACAAUUUAUACUCCAAUGGAGAGGCGAUGCAUUGGCACACACUGCCCAGGGAGCGGUGGGGUCACCGUCCCUGGGGGUGUUCCAGAACUGUGGGGAUGUGGCACUGAGGGAUGUGGGCAGUGGGCAUGGUGGGGGUGAGUUGACAGCUGGACUUGAUCUUUGAGGUCUUUUCCACCCUUAAUGGUUCUAUUUUGGGAGCUUAGAGGGGAAAGAUUCUGCUAUGAGAUGGACAAGGACAAGGUCAUGCUGCAGAGCUUGGCAAGACCAAGAGGUGACAACACAGUGCAUAUGGCUGCUGCAAUGGCCAUUGCAUCCAGACCCAUCACACCAACUCCCACAUUGCCCCACUCUCUCUGCAAGCUUUGCAGCAUCCCAGACAGACAGCACUGCUCUUUUUACAGCUGACCAGCUCCAAGCUUUGAUACCAACAGAGGUCAAAGGAGGAACACUAUGAGCAGCAGAGAGUUGUCUUUGCAGCAGUGUGGUGCACGCAGGGAGCAACCAAGCAGCAGCACUGAGGGUUUCUGAGGCUCUUGGGUUCUGCAGAGCCCCCGGGGCUGUUUGCUUGCAGGAAGUAAUGACGGGAGGCACGUCUGCAGAGCUCAGAGCUCUGAGAAGGCCGCGUUAUAUAAUGCCGCCCGCGCUGUCAGGCACUGCGCCAGUGGGGUAAGGAGAGACGCAGUGACCUUUUGGUGGUGACACAUGGGGAGAGCUGUGUGACUAAAUCCAGCUCUGCUGCGCUCCUGCCUGCAGACGUUAUAUAUGUGAAAGGCAUUUGCAUUUUGCUUGGAAAAUAUAUCCUGCAAAGGGGAACACGCAUUGCAGCCAUGAGUGGCCCCUUUCUGUGUUGCUGGUGCUGCUCCGUGUGAAGGUGCAGGUGCUGGGAAGUAGCCGUGGGUUGGGAGGUGAGCACGGCAGGGUGAUGCCUCCAGUGGCCAUGUUGAUCUCCAUAGAAUGGAAUGGAAUGGAAUGGAGUGGAAUACUACAGUUUGAGUUGGAAGAGACUUUUAAGACCAUCUAGCCCAACUCCCCUGCAAUGAACAGGGACACCUACAGCUCAAUCAGGCUGCUCAUAGCCCAGUCCAGCCUGACCUUAAGUCCAGGGAUGGGGGACCCACCAUGGUGCAUCCCCUGUGUCAUCCAACCCUGUGAUACCUGCUAAGCAAGGAGGAAAUGGAGCAAGGAGGAAAAUGUAUUGGGAUUGAACAUUGGAAAAUGGACCGUGAUGUGGUUUGGAACAAAAGUAUUGUCAUGGAUUUCAUCACAGCACCUGUGUCAUUAUUUUCGUGUCAUAUACAUGGAGAUGUAUGGCACUGGUACCAUAUAUUGAUAGUACUGGUCAAUCCCAUAGCUAUGAUAUCUCUCUACUCUGCAGUGCACUGAUCCCGAAGAUCCUAUGCUGCAUUAUGAGUACAGCAUAUUGACCUGGUUACUGGGAUGCCUGUGGUAUAUCCAAGACUGCAAACAAAGAAGGAAGGUGGGAAACUAACAAGAUGCCCUGCAGCAAAGCUUGGUGGUUGCUGCAGGAUAACGGGAAAUCCCACAGAUGUGGGCUUGGAGCCCACCAGAUGGGCUGCAGGCCAGAAAUGUGCCUCCAUGAGCACAACUCCUGCACCAGGAAGGCUGCUGUCACUGUGCUGUCCUUAUGCCACUGGGUUGGUGCACAUUGAGCGCACAACCUCUGAGCAUCCAGAGCUUGUCAUCCACUAAGAGUUCAGUGGGGCGGGGAAGUGGGAAAGCCAGCUGGGAAUGCUGUGAGAUAAGGAAUGGGAAGGGUUCCCAGUGAUUCUGGCAGGUGCUUUUGGGUACUCCAAGCUUUCUCUUACAAAAAUAAAGCUUCCAGUUGAAGCCAUUCUCAGCACAGAGGGCAGAAAUAGACUCCACUCAAGGCAAGCAGGAAGAAGUAGAAAAUAAACUCAUGUAAAGGUGGACCUUCAUCCUUUUCUGGAGGGAACCCUACACCACCGCUCCCCCUGAGAAUAAGGCACAGGACAUGAAGUCCAACAUGGUCCACUGUGAGGCUGCUGGGCUGCAUUCCCAGGUGGGAGCACACGCUUUCCCAGUGGUUUAAAUUUCUGCACUCCUGUCUUUAUUUUCUCUUUAAAUCAUCCAAAAAAUGGAGUCGCAUCCCUUGGUGAAGAGACACAGGAGUUCUUCAGCUGAGGUUGCUGUGCAAUUGAUAGUGGUUUCUGAAGUCAUCACUGCAAUCAUCCCUGGCUAUGGAUGCCAUGCAAUGGGUACUUUGGGCCUCUAGGUGCGUUCAGGUGCUCAAACAUAGGAAUUUUCAAACACUGCAGUGAAUGGCUGCAGAGGGGAUGUAAAGGUCAGGGCAUGAUCCUGGAGCUAAUCUCAGCAGGCAGCUGCACCCGGGGCUGGGCAUGGAUUAGCAGCAAUGGAAACUCUGAGCCUGCUGCCUGAUUUAUCCAGGCAGGAAUUUGCUGCAGCUGGGCUGAGGCUGCAUCGCCUUUCCUGCCUGCACUGUGUGUGAGCAGGCUGAAUGCUCCCAACUGCCUCUGAAGUGCUGUGCACCCCAUCUGCACCAGGAUGGCACGGCAAGGUUGGAAUUCUGCUUACACAGCCAGAAGUGUCACCGAGUUUGCAGAAAUGCAGCACUCUGAACUCACUCACGUCCCACCACUUCUCACUUUUCCUCCUUGCUGCCCAAACGUUGCCUCCUGUGCCUUACUUGUGCAACUGUGUGCCUACAGCACCAGGUGCUCAUCCCUGCUGAAUCGAGGUCUGUUUGUUCAGACCGUUGCUCCAAUUUGCCAAGAUCGUUCUGAACCCAAACCCCGUGUUGCAACACGCCUGCAGUUUCUCCCAGGGGGUGUCAUCUCCCAGAUUCUCCUCUGUCAUGCUGAUCACGUUAACCUGUUCAAGCAAGCAUGGCCCAUAGCAGUAAUACCAUUGUGCACUUGAAAAGGACCAUGUCUUGAGCACAGUAUGGCACCGUUCCUGCUCCCAGGUUGCAAACAGAUGCUCAAACAGUACAGAACCAUAAAUCUUUCGAUGAUUUCUGAAGUCUGUUCUCUUUGAAGAUCCUCCUGAUGCUUGCAAUCCGUGUGCAUGUGCAUCUGCGGAAGAAGCUGUCCGGGGUUUUUAUUUGUAGGACCAUGACUGUCCUUUGCAAAAAAAGCAAAAAGCAAGCCAAACUUCUAUGCUAAAGAUGCUGGUAUAGCUGCUUCUGGGAUGCUGGCCAACAAGCAGAAAUAGUGUCAUUGAUUUCAGCAAACCAGUUGCGCACCUUGCCCGGCACACACCUUGUGAAUAAGCAUGGAAAAAUGUUGCGGACGACACAAGAACCACGUUCUGUUUGCACAAAACAUUUGGCAAACAAACGAAGAGGGAAGAAAGUCACACCAACUGCUCUGUGUUCACAAUGCGGAAAGAGGGAGAAAAAAGAGGGUUGAUGUAGUCAUAAGCUGCACGUAGCACUGUUUGCCUGGCUAAUGGGGGUAAAAAUUUGUGUGGAACAGUGAUGACAGUUUGCUGUCCCUAGAGAUGAGCAUCUGCUCGCUGCCAUGUCCAAUGGGGACAGCCCAGGGUGUGGAUGUAAGCCCUCCUCGUCCUCCCUGGGUGACACUGAGUCAUAUCCACUCUGUAACUGUCCUGACGCUGCAAUGACACAGCUACGUUUGCCAUGACAGCUUCCCUGCCCAGGGGUGACAUAUGGAAUGGAACCUUGAAUGGAAGUUGCUCUUUGUCAAGACAGUCAGUGCCUGGCAGUGCUGAUCUGCACGAAUGCAGACUCAGAAUGAGAUGUAUCCAGGAGAGCUCUGUUGCCAACCCAGAAAAUAACGAGCCUGCAUUUUUAUCAUUUUAAGAAUGUGGAAUUCAAAAAGGGCAAUAAACCUCAAGCUCUUCUUUUUGCCUUACAUGGGCUCUGCCCUGUGAAUCACAGCCUGCUGUGCCAUGCCAGGAAACACACAGUCUGAGGGUCAGGGGAGGAUCACUGUGAGCAGCACUAUGGCCCAGCCCUCCCUCUAUCUUCCAGGCAGUUCCCAGCUCUGGUGCAGGUGAUGGGGGACAAAUAACCAGGAGGGCAUAGCCCUACCUCGGGAUAGCAGAUUUCCAAAAGACACAGCAAGGAAAUUACCCUUGUCCUAUCCCUAACUCUAACCCUAACCCAAAAAACUAGACUAAACCCCCAACCCUAACACUAACCAUAACCCUAACACUGUACUAAUUCUAACCCUAACUCUAUCCCUAAUCCCAACUCUAACCAUUACCCUAUCCUUACAUAAGGAUACCUUGGAUUACCUAAUCCCAACUCUAAUCUUAACCCUAACUCUAACUCUAACCCCAAACCUAAGCUUAACCCUAACCCUAACACAAAUCCCAACUCUAAUCCCAACCCUAACUCUAACCCUAAGGUUAACUCUAUCCCUUACCCUAUUCCUAACCCCAACCCUAACCAUAUCCCUCUCCCUAACCAUAAUCCUAUCUCUAACCCCAACCCAAACCCUAACCUCAACUCCAACCCUAACCCGAAUCCUCCUCUAGCACUGAUCUCAGAGCUCAUAAUGCUCUGGUUACCCACAUGUGACCCUGCUCCAGGACUGGGAUUAGGCUCAUGCACCAAAAACCCAGAGCCACUGCUGAGUUUGUGGAUCCACACUCAGGAGCAUAGAUAUCAGCCUGUCCCAUCUCCCCUGCAUGACUUAUUUUCCACACAUUGAACUGCUGCUAUUCAAGGUGGAGAAUCCAUGAAAACAAUCUAAAGCUGGAUGUGUGCACUGUUACUUUGGGGUAUGCUUAUAUAUAGUUUAGCAUCAACAGUAUAAAACCUGUGGACAGCCACAUAACACACAACGGCGCUUGCAAGCACGUGUCCAAAGCAGUGCCAUAGAAUCAUAGAACCACAGAACCGUUAUGGUUGGAAAAGACCUCUCAGACCCCAGCACAAUCCCAGCCCACCCCCACCAUGCCCACUGCCCACAUCCCUCAGUGCCACAUCCCCACGGUUCUGGAACACCUCCAGGGAUGGUGACCCCACCACUCCCUGGGCAGUGGGUGCCAAUGCAUCACCAGUCUUUCAGAGAAGGAAUUUUUCCUUAUAUCCAACCUGAAAGUAACCGAACUCAGUUUCUUCAUUAACUUCCUAAUAUUGGAGGAUGAUUAAACUCUGUCUGGGAAAGGAAUGCGAGCAGCUACUUUGCAUGGGGAGGGUGGAAUGACUGUGCUGGAGGAGCUCCGGGAGAUGGAAAAAACCACAUCAAGGCUGUCUGCCUUCCCCAUCCCAAAUUACAGCACCCAGAGAGGAAUACACCAGGGGUUGGGUAAGCACAAUGCAGGAGGCUGCCUGUUGUCUGAACAUUUUCCUUUGCCUUGGGUGAGUAAAUAAUAAUCUGUUUUGGAAAAUCUGCUGAGAUACACUGCCUAGCGUGGAGGCUGCAGGAGGAGAGCUGAGGGCAGUGGUCAGGCACAUGGACACUGGGGUCCAAGGCUCUAGGAGGUGAUGGGAUGGAGAGCUGAGGUGGCCCUAUGGGAGCUGCUGGCUGUACUUGCAGCACUCAGGGAGCUGCCCGGGGGCUUUGUCUGAUGGGAGCAGUGAUGGGCAGAGCUGCUGGGGCAUUUUCAGUCCUCAGAGCAAAGCUAAAGUGGGCAUAUGGUUCACCUCCAUAGAUAACUCCACCACCAUAACCGUAAUAUAGUAGAAUCAUAAAACCAUUUAGAUUGGAAAAGAUCUCUAAGAUCAUUUAGUCCAACCAUUAGCUGUCAUGCUCUGCACAAAGGGGUAGACCCACGGUUGGCAGAAUCAUGCAAUCAUUUCAUCUGGAAAAGACCAAUGAGGUCAUCGAGUCGAACCAUUAACCUGGCACAGCCAAGCUAUGGUGGCACUGCCUCAGCCCAGCUGACAUUUGAAUGUGGAAGAGCUGAGAGCACAUCAGAGCCUGAGCAUGCGUCUGGGGGCAACUUGCACUUCAAAGGACGGAGAGGCAGACCACCCUCCUUCCUGCAGAGCGAGCUCUCCAAACAGCUGUAGAGCGGAGAGAGGCCAAAUCCAAAACCCUGCCAGCCCCUGACAAUGUGUGAUCUAUGUGCAGUUUAAUGUUUGAUGGCUGAUGUCAAAGGGAAUUCAGCUAAAGGCAGGAAGAGAAACACAAGGAAAACAAGGGUAGCCGCGCAGGGAGCCAGCUUUAUGACUAAUGCUACCUUCUGAGUAAUGCUUAUACUGAAACAUAAAUAACAAUAAAUCCAGCUUCACUCCAUCUGGAGGACAGAGCAGAGCCCACUUUGCUUGGCCAAAACAGGCCUCAGUGUUUAACCACAAGAAAAUCCUCCUGAAGUUUUAUGACUUACUGUAAGGGCUGAAAAAGCCCCUCAGUUAGGAAAUACAGCGUCUGGUGGAUUUGCAGCAUGAGCACUUGGAUGGAGCUGUGUCCCAUUUGGUUGCAUUUUGGGAGGUGGGACAGGACAGGAUGCUGGUUAGUGUCAGGGCGUGCUUCCAACUCAGCUCUGCCCAAUCCUGCCCUGCUCAAUUUCCCCAGAGCUCUUUGGACAAGUGGCGGAUUUGAGCCCCCCAGUCCUUGCAUCCUUUGAAGCUCCCCAUCCCGGGACCAAGCAGCAGCUUGUUCAGCCCACGCUGCUUUGCCUUGGGCAUGGGUCUGGGUGGGGAUGUUGAAAGUCAAGAUCUCCACAUCCUUCCCUCUGCAAAGUCCUCAGUGAUUUGUUGCUGAGACAAUGUCUUCUGCGUUGGGUUUAUUGGCACCUUCGGGACGCAGCGGGGUUUUCUUUGGAUUGCACAAGUCUAAAUUUGUCUGUCUAAAAAUGGUGAUUUUUGCCAAAGAGUGACAUCUCUGAUGGCUCAGUGUAGAUGGAGAAUCCUCCAUGGUGGAACACAGAGGUCAGGCAAUGGAGCGUCCUGAGGGAUGGGAUUUGGCCAGAGAACCAAGACCGAGGUCCAGAAAGAUGCACGAGACACUGCAGAGUAUUUCUGGAAUAAAAACAAAACAAAAUAAAAAACUGUUGGUUUUCAGCCUGAAAUGCUCAGAAUUUUGAUUUUCUAUGAGAAAAGCAUUAAGUUUCUCCUGACCCUCUCCCUGGAGAUGAGAGCUGGAUUUUUUUCUGACUAUGACUAUCUUCUGUCCAUUUGUAACCUCUCAACACCAUGUGCUGGGGUAGUUCAUGGGGCUUUUGGCCUUUCCAGGUGUGGGGAAUGCUGGAAUGGGUCAACCCAGAGGAUCCUGAAGCACCAUGAUUUGUGAAUCUUAGAGAGGGGAAUGGUUUAAAACUGAGACAGGGGAGGAUUAGGUUGGAUAUUAGGAGGAAGUUUUUCACUCAGAGGGUGGUGACGCACUGAACAGGUUGCCCAAGGAGGCUGUGGAUGCCCCAUCCCUGGAGGCAUUCAAGGCCAGGCUGGAUGUGGCUCUGGGCAGCCUGGGCUGCUGGUUGGCGACCCUGCACAUAGCAGGGGGUUGGAACUGGAUGAGCAUUGCGGGCCUUUUCAACUCAGGCCAUUCUAUGAUUCUGAUUCUAUGAUUCUGUGGCAGUGGAAGGCUGAGUGGGAAGCAAAUUUGUAAGAGUGUGAUCAGUGUAGAUGCUAAGCAGAGGUUAGCUUUCUCCCCUCUCUCAUCCCCUGGGAUAUAUAAAUCCGAAUGCCGUCUAUAAGAAAUGUGAAAUAAUCCUUGUGCUCUGCCUGCCGCUGGGAAGGCCAGAGUUGGAGAAACUCAUCCAAGUUGGGCACAACCUUUAAAAGAGCGAUGCUCAAGGAGCAUCUGGAGGCAUUCAGUGGUCAUGAUCUGCAGUCCUGGAAACAUGACCCACAGACAACUGCACUUGUUUAGUCUAAAAGGAGGGAAGACACGAGAACGGCUAUGCAAGAGAUUGCAAAGAGACUGCAAAAAGAAGGGAAUGGUGCUGUAAUUUUGGAAUAAUGUGUGAUGCUGGGAGCAGGGCAAACAGCCUGGGGCUGCUUGGUGCUGGGGAAGGGUGAUUUGGGAAUAUUAUCCUGAUGGUAGAGUAAGGAAGACACAGGUAUGGCUAUGGAGGAGGUUUGGUAUCAGUGGUCUGGGGGGCUCCAGACAGGCUGGUGUGCAUCCAGGACAUGGUCAGUGCCAUUGGCUUAUGCAAACUCCUGGAGUUUCUCCUGUGCUCUAGAAGGGAAGCCUUGCAGCCUGUGGUUCCUACCCAUGAGGCUGGGUAAUGAACCCAGUGUUGAUGCCAGGACCCCUGAAUUCCUACUCAGAGUGGUUGUAUAGGGAACAAGAUGUGCAGGCUGCAGAAUACCAUCCAGAAAAGUGUUGGAAAAAAAUGUGGAAAUAGGAGAAGCAGAAUGUGCUCAAUGAGAAUGCUGGCUGCAGUGGGCAUUGCCUUGCUUCUCCCAGUCCUGGUCACAGCAGAGAGCAGCCAGGGUGUCUUCAGCAGGAGCGCACAGCCCGUGUGGUUUUCAUGCAGACACCAAGAGUUUUGGAAGCUGAUGCGUUGACUGGGUGGUCCUAGAGAAAAAAAGAAAAAAAAGAAAAAAGAAAAAAGAAAAAGGAGAAUGAGUGAGAGAUAACACCUCCAUUUCUGGCACAUGCCAUGGUUAUAGAAAGGACACUUUUAUUGCUUGUCUGAACUGCAGACAGAUCCACACGGGGUUAUUGUACUUGUCAUGGCCACCCAUGGACCUGUGGUUGUGGAUGACAAGCUGUGCUGGCCACCAGCAGCUUUGGGCCUCCUCCAUCCAGGAGCUGUCACUUCAGCUGGAUGUAAGUGGCCUCGCCAUGAGAGUGACCUUCAGCAGCCCUAACCACAGCUGAACCCCGGGUGCUGCUCCUUCCCUGUGUUGUUCUCAAAGCCCCGAUGCAAAGCAGCAAGCUUGAGUGCAUUUCUUUCAGAUCUGCGUCAGUGCUUUUCUCAACAGCUUGGCAAGCAGCAUAAACAUCCAUCUGCACUUGUCACUGGUAGCAGUGCACAUCAUCUGGAGAGAAACUGGCUGCUCUCACACAUCCAAUAGCACAAGGAGCAAACAGUUGCUUUAUUUCUGAGCGGGGCCACACAAAUCAUUAGACACCUCAUUAAUCUCGUGUUUAAUUCCCUGCAAGAGGCCAGUGGAAGAAGAAGUAAAUUCUACAUUUUAAUUAUGGGGAGAAUAACUGGAGUAGCCUCCCAACCUCAUUUGCAUUGCUUGCAUAAAGAGACACAAACAGCUGGACAGAAGGUUUGAUGCUGAGAUGUUCUCAUCUCCACCCAGCACCCUUGGGGCUGUGAUGCACAAAAAACAGGCUCCCUUCUCCUCACUGUAUGAAUUGCACUUGCUAUGUUCUGCCCAAUGCCCUUAACCCAUGGCUGUAGACAUCCUACAGCAGCAGGCAUAAGAAGUUCCACGAGCAAUAUAAGGGAUGGUGUGGGUAAUGCUCCAGUCUCACCUCCAAAACAUACCUCAGCCUUCUGGGGUCCCACUGGAGACCACUUACAGCAUGAGGUCACCCUGCAGAUCAAACAAGGAGAUGGUUCACAGCCCAUCACUGGAUGAACGUCUCAUGAUGAGACUGAUUGCAACUUCUUUAUGACUGUGAGUGCCUCCCAGCAUGCAGCAGUUGACCCAGGUGCUCCAUCACCUGGUUUCUUCUGCAAACACAUCACGUUGGCUUCAUGAGCAGAGAAACACUAUCCCAGGGCACACUGAGAUCGUGUCCAACAGUCAGCCCAUCACCACCAUGCCCACUGACCACAUCCCUCAGUGCCACAUCUCCACAGAUCUGGAACACCUCCAUGGAUGGUGACUCCACCACCUCCACGGACAGCCUGUGCCAGAGCAUCACCACUCUUUCAGAGAAGAAUUUUCUCCUGAAUGGAGCAGCUCAAGGACAUUGCCUCUAGUGAUGUCCAUGUGCUUCAUUGACAGCAGCAGCAAAUGUGAGGUUUCAUCUUCAUUUUGACAUCUUGACUGAUGCAUCUGCUUUUCAGUGACUGCUGAUAGGCUUAGGGCUCUGCACUGGGUAGAACUGGGAGCAGCUCAUCUACAAGUCCCCACCUACAAUUCCCCACCAUCCCUGGCUCAGAGGUUACCAUCACCACCCAAAGAGUUUCAGCUGAUUGUAGACUAAACUGCAUCUAAUUCGGCCUUCUGGUGUUAUUAUCGACAUCCACAAUGCCUCACAUUUCCAUCUGCAGCCGUGAAUACGCCCACCAGCAUGGCCAAGGUCAACACACCACUUGGUCAUAUGUGAGUCCCUGCUCUGCUGACCAACAGAUACAAAAGGGACUGGCGUUGAUGUCCUGUGCCAUCCCCUCCCUUGGGAUAGGCUUAAAGCCUGGGGAAGGUGAUAGGUAAAAAUUAUCUGUGGGAUCUUCAAACUCUGUUUAAUGGGGAAUCCUCUAAAAAUCUGCCCUAAGCUUCGUGUUUCUUAACACAGCCUCUUCUUCCACUCUCCUAUUUGCUCUGAGUCUGUGUACGUACGUGUACAGGGUGUAUGUUGGCCUUUAAAUAUGAGUUAUAGGAAAAUGAAGCCGAGGAAUCUCCCUGCAGCUGUGCCUGAUGAAGGGGAGCCCCACUGCUCGCUGCUCCCAGCACCUCUGGGACGAAAGGGAAAAACCCUGCCCUGAAGACAGACAGCACCCAGGAAUGCCGGCAUUGCCCAGCAGUGAGGAUUUACUACCUGCAAACAGCAAGGCAGGGGAUUUUCCCCCUCUUCUCACCAUGUGGCUUUCAGACACAGACGAUGUUUUCCAAGCCAGCAUUAUCUGUUGGGAGACAAUGUGAACAGGAGCAUGACCAAGGAGCAGCAGUGAAAUCACUGCACUUCGCUUCCCCUCUCACAGCACAUGGGAGAUGCGCGAGCCAGAGAUAUAACGAAGCACAUAUGUUUUGGCACACAAACGGAAAACACUUCUUUUUUUUUUUUUCCCUUCUUUUUUUUUUUUUUUCAGAGGCUUUUUUUAUUUCUCUGGAUCCGCUACAUUAAAUACGAGGCUAUUGCAAGCCUUGGGAGAGAAGGGAAAGGUUCAUUGGUUCUCACACACUGCUGGAAAGCGAAAGGUCGGCGCUCUGCGUGUCCAGAGACACCUCGUUCCCCAGCACUGCUGGGUUUCCUGGCCAUGCCAUUGCCUCCUUUGGGCAGCAGGUGAUUAUGUGAUAAUCUCAGGCUUCACUGGAAAAAAAAAAAUAAUAAUAAUAAUUUUAAAAAGCCAUUUAUUUCUUUUGGAGAAAAAGUGACAAACUUGAGCCCUACAGACUCGAAAAACCCAACGGGCAAACGAAUGGGGAAAAGGAAGCAGAUGGUUGUUUUUGCCAUGUUUUCUUGCAUAAUCGCUGUUUUCUCCCCAGACUGUGCUUACAAAAGUUGGUUGCUGCCAUGGUGCAUGUCACUUUGAAACUUCCUGAUGAGCUGCGGCUUGGCAGGGGCUGGCAGCGCGCUGCAAACGCUGUCACUUCAUUAGCUAUUUAUAACAGCAGCAAAGAUCUUGACUUUUAAUUUGAUCCUACUAUAUUUAGGGAGGAGGGGGGUGCCUCCCUCGUUACUGCUGAGUUUUUCUGGCAUUUAAAGAAAAUCAAGUUUUUGCUGCUUUCUGCCUCAAAAAGGCAAGAAGAGGCUAAUUUUCAUCAUUUCUCUCCUGGUGUGAAUUUGCAGCAGGGUUAAAUAUUUCAAUAAAUGCCCUUUGUAGAGGGCAUUAAGAAAGUCAGCGAGAGAGCCAAGCAUUGUAUUUUAUGAGAAUGUUCUGUGCUAUGAGGACAGGGAGGAGGUGAUGCUCAGUGGUUGCCAACCACACUGUAGAGCAGAGCCUGGAGCAACACCACCUGACAGCACUCCCCACUCUGUUGCAUCGCCUUUAUGGGUGCCUUCAGGAUGGUGGAGAUGCCAUCUCAGCCCUUGGGUGGCUGCAGGUUCCCUGGAUCGAGGACACACACACCUCUGGUGCUGAGGUUGGCCGUGGAAGUGCACCCUGAAAUGCUGAUGGUGUGGACAGGAGAAGACAUCCGGAAGAUGUGGCCCUCAUCCAAACCAGAGCAUUCCUCUUCCUGAAAGCCAUCUGCGUCAGUUGAGCUGAACAGCUCACCCCCUGGGGAAAGCAAACCCAGUGGGGCUGGAAAAUCUGAGGUUGAGUUUUUUCUCUGUCUGUUUUCGCCCCGUGCUCUGAGCAGCGGUUUUCCCUGGGGUCUGUGGGUAGAUGGAGCUGAAAUCUGCAUCUCCAUAUCCAGAUGUCCCCUUCAAUGUAGAUAUUCUAAAACUUCCUCCGUUUCAUUUCCCCACCGUUUGUCUGUUAUCCUUUUUGAAGAGUUGGGGGGGGGGGAAGAAGGGAAGGAAGGCCCAUUUUUACACAGCCCAAUUUCUGACGGAAAGAAUUAUUUUCUUCAGGCACUCUGGGAGCCAUUUGGCUUCUCAGUUGCCAGGACUGCCAUAUAAAUUUGCUGAUGACACGGUGUUAUGUAACACCUGCUCAGAAAGAGGCCAAAAAUAAAUAAAUAAAUAAAUAAAUAAAUGGAAGCGCCUUGAUAGAUAAGUGAAACCCUCAAACUGUUUGCCUGCUGGUAAGGGAUGAAAUGCAGGUGUAGAUUUUUUUCCCUCGGUGGGGAAGAGGGGCCUUUUCCCCCAGCAGUAGGGUUCAAUGGAUGGCGCCUUGGGCUGCCCUAGGGAAGAAAAGAUGGGUGCACAAGGAGGGGAGCAGAAUGUCACCAAUUCACACGAGCAAAUCUGCUGAGGUCCGUUGGUCUCUGUGUGCAGCCUCAAUUAGCUCUGGCUGAGGAUCUGGCCCGAAGUUUAUACCCUUUCUGAUUUUCAUUUUAAUUGCUGUUUCUGGAUAUAAUUGUGCAAGCAUUAUGCAGUUAAAAGGAGUGAUUCACUAGCCCCAUCUAUAGCAUCAUUGCCUAUUAAGGCUGUCUGAAAGUCCCUUUGUAGGGCGCUGCUUGGAGUUAUAAUUUUAAUUUAAAUCAUUCGUGCUGAAUUUUUCUAUAAUGGAGCAUCCACCUCAGGCUGAUAUUCUAUUUCAGGGGCA